AGGCUUUAUCCUUUGUUCUUGUUUAACAAAAUCGAUUUAAAUUGUUACUUUUUUACCACUAAGUAAUGAUAAAUUAUUGUUAACAUUUUUUUUAUUUUUUGGAUGCUCAGAAUGCAGGAAAUAGCAUUUCACGGUUUCAAAUUUCAAAAAUUUUCUUGGGAUUAUCCCUCUAAUAAGUAAUGAUAAAUUACAGUUAAUAUUCUUUUUUACUUUUAAUUUUGUGCAUUUUUCCAUCUUUUAUUUCAAAUACAACUAUAGUUAGCAUAGAUUUUAGAGCAAAUUUGGAUGCUCAGAAUGCAGGAAAUGGCAUUUCCGUGGUUCAAAUUUCAAAAAUUUUCUGGGGGAAUACAUCCCCACACACCUGACCAUUGCUAUCCUCCUCUAAUAAGUAACGAUAAAUGAUGGUUAAUUUUUUUUACUUUUUGUGCGUUUCUUCCUUUAUUUAUUUCAAAUACAAGUAUGGUUAGCCAGUUAGGAUAAAUUUUGGAGCAAAUUUGGAUGCUCAGAAUGCAGGAAAUGACAUUUCCGGGAGUCAAAUUUCAAAAAUUUUCUGGGGGAGUACACCCCCAGACCCCCCAUUCAUGCGUGGUAUAUUUGCCACACACGUGGCUUUCAGCCAUUGCUAUCCCCCUCUAAAAUAUUAUCUCACAGAAAGGUCCCUUUUCAAAAAAUGCCCCCCCACGGGAAAAUCCUUAAAAAAGGCCCUGAUUAUAGGUCUUUCACCUGAAAUGUUGAAGUUCAUUGAUUUCUUAGUUUCAGGUAGUUGCAUCUGAUACAGGGGUGCACAGAGAGAGGACUGAAAUGAACAAAACCCCAAAUAAAUCCACCUGCAUGGACUGGAAGUGACAUUAUCUACCAAUUAAAUUGUUUCUGACUUGAUGUCUGACUAGCAUGUGUGACUUUCUC